GUGCCAGCCGCCGCGGUAAUACCGGCAGCCCAAGUGAUGGCCGAUAUUAUUGGGCCUAAAGCGUCCGUAGCUGGCCGCACAAGUCCGUCGGGAAAUCCACUCGCUUAACGAGUGGGCGUCCGACGGAAACUGCACAGCUUGGGACCGGAAGGCGCGGCGGGUACGUCCAGGGUAGGAGUGAAAUCCCGUAAUCCUGGACGGACCGCCGAUGGCGAAAGCACGUCGCGAGAACGGAUCCGACAGUGAGGGACGAAAGCCAGGGUCUCCAACCGGAUUAGAAACCCCUGUAGUCC
rnacentral:rRNA from 1 species